AUGGCGGUAAGCAACAUCGUGUGCGAGUGGUUGCGCGCCCUCGGGCUGGGCCAGUACGCGGAAAGCUUCCUCGACAAUGGAUACGACGAUCUGGAGAUCUGCAAGCAGGUUGGCGAUCCGGACCUGGACGCGAUCGGGGUACAGAAUCCGGCCCACCGGAGCAAGCUGCUCAAGAGUGUGCGGCUGCUGCGGGAGAAGGGUGCGGCCAGCGUGUACUUUCAGCUGAACGAUCCGAAGUCACUGCUGUCGGACAACAGUGACAGUUUGGAGCGUGACAGUUCGCCCCUGAUGCUGAGCGAGCUGGAGGCAUUGCUGCAGGAGCAGCUGAAGGCGGACGGCGUUUGUUUGACGGCACAUCCAUACUCCACACCGGAUGGUGCACGAGGACACCUGGAAGGUCUUGCAUCGGUGUACUGCGAAAUGUUGCUCGCACCGUUCGGUGAGGUCCUUACGGCGCUGGAGGAAGCACGACAGCGUGCCUGGUCGGAACGGAGUCCCCACAGUUCGUCCGGCGGCGGUGGAGGGUUGAUACGGGGCCACCGUGGUAAUUCGUGCCACGGCGGUUUGCCCAACAGUCACAGUCAGCCAAUCUACGUGCCCGGCAAAUAUUCGCCCUCCAGCUGCCUGUCUGAUAAGGAGGAGGACGAAAUUUAUGGAUUCGGAUACGGUGUGUUCGCUCCAAGGGUGGCCAGAACGACCCUCCAGUCACAGCAAGCGCAGCAAGGGCAGCAGCAGCAACAGCAGCAGCAACAGCAGCAGCAACCACAACAACCCCAGCCACAACAAUCACAAAACUCCGCCAAUGUACCUGCCAACAGUGCUGCUGUUCAGCAAAGCUGCCUCAGCCCACGCUCAGCGUACUUCUACGAAUUUCCACCAACGGACGGCCGAGAGACCAGCAAAAAGCGUACGACCCUGGCGAGGCUUUUGAGAGGACUAAAGACUGUAAAUAGGCGUGAUAGAUCGAAUCAAAACACCACCGGCGGCACUGCAACGCAGUCAAGGUCACAGAACGAAAGACUGAGACACUUCCAAAUGAAUGGCGGUGGACCGCAGCCAAGUUUCGAAGAAACCAUACAGAGGCUAAAAAUACAGGAAGCACUUCGGAAGAAGGAAAAAUUUCAACGCGAACACGAAGAGAUACUUCGAGACAUUCGGCAAGGUUUGUUGCAGCUGAGCAGAGACUCGAGAGACGACACGUACAUGUACGACGAUGCGGUAACGAAUGUGAUGCGAAUGCCUCAUCACCAAGGUCACUGGUACGAUGAGCCACCGUACGAGAGUGAUCCAGACGACUUCCUGAUGUCCGGCAUGCGGCAAAUCGGUGCCGCUGGGUACGCGGGCGAUGGUGGAGGAGGCGGCGGUGGCGAUAGUGGCGGAGGACCAAGCGCUACCAUUCAGGGUGGUCGCGUCUGCUACAGCACGAACGGAAGGGAAGGGCAGAGUGUGAUAUCGUUGCGGUCCGCGGGUGACAUUUCCAUACCACAGCGGGGUCCCCGGCGGGGCCUGAUCGUACCCCAGCAACCACCAAACCCUCCAACCAUUAUACCCCUCAAACAUGCCCGAUCGCACGAUCGGGAAAGCGGAGAUUAUGCCGGUUCAAUAUCGGAUCUACACAGCGUUACCUCCCGGUUGAGCCAGGUUUCGAUCGGCAUGAAUAACUGUACGGCCCGCUAUCGAACGCUCAGUGCCGGGCUGGGUGACGAAUCACCAUCACCAUCGCCCACACCAUCAUCCGAGUACGAUGACAUCCUGCAAGCGAACGCACUGCAGCUUCAGAAGCAUCUGCAUCACCAGCAGCUGAAGCGCCUGGAAGGACAGUGUGGUGGUGGUGGUGCUGGUGGUGUCGGCAUCCCGGGGCAACCCGGGUCAACAUCCGGCCUCAUCGGCAGUGCGGCAUCCUUGGUACCGGCAGGUUCGUCCGCAGCAGCAGCAGCAUCAGCAACGACGACGACAGUUGGCAUUAGUUCGGUGGGAAACACAUCCGGCACCGUUGGUGGUAGUAUAGCACUCACAUCCGGUGGUGCAUCCGGUGCCAAUCUGCCAUCAUUGCUCGGCGGUACGGUCGGUGGAAUCGGCGGGACGGACAUCAGCAGCGCAAGCACAAGCAACAGCACGACCACGACAAAUGGCAGCGGCAAUAGUAGCAGUAGCGCGAGCAGCAACAACAGCACCAGUACAAAAAACACCGUCAACAAUCUGAAAAGCCUGAAGGCGGCCAAAAACAGGAACAAUCUAUCGUCGUCACUGGCGGCGGCCGCGUCGUCAGCGGCGGUCUCGCACAACAAUAAAAAUUUAAGCAUAAGUCAACAGAUAGCUUUAGUACAUCACUCUAAUGACGCUCGAACAUCGCCAAAGGAUCAUCUACUGUUCGGUGGAGCGGAUCGCAACAAUCGUGAUUACAGUAACUGCUUGGAUAGCAUCAGCGACCAAACGUUCCAACAUUCGGCCAGCUCGGUCGAAAGCUUACCGAGUGCUUCCGGAUCAAGCACUCAAGCCCUGGUUCGCCCAGGUAGUCCGCACAGUUCCCUGUCGGCGGAGGAUCGCACCACAAUGCUUCCAAUCUGCCGAGCGAUCGCACUCGUCGAUAGUUGCCCUAGCCCGUACGACAAGGAAGCGCUACGGUUUAAGAAAGGAGACAUCAUUGAUGUACUCUCGAUGAAUGCGUCCGGUGUGUGGCGAGGCUACGCGAACGGUCGGUUAGGACACUUUAAGUUCAUUAGUGUCGAGGUAUUACCCGAUCUUCCUACGACGGGUUUGAAAGGAUACGGUGGAAAGCUGGUCAGCCGGCACCGUUUACCAACGAGCUGUCCGACGAGUGUCGAAGAGCUGCUGCUACGGAUCGGUCUGAAAGAGUACACAUCCGUGUUUGUGCUCAACGGGUACGAAGACCUGGAGCUGUUCAAGGAGUUGGAACCGUCCGAUUUAGAUUAUCUAGGCAUUGGCAAUACGGAGCAUCGGGCGAAGAUACUGGCCGCCGUUCAGCUGCUGCACGAUUUGGACUCAACGUCCGAUGGAGAUGUGGCCGGUUCCAGCUCGGAGAACGAUGAAGGGUUACGGUUGAAUCACGUCAACUGUUCCGGUGGUCUUGGCGGUGGACUGAGCGGCGGCAGUGGCAGUACGACGAGGAGUAGCGGCGACCACCAGACGUCACCGUUUGGCCGGAGGCACUUUCCACGAGAUUCCGGUUGUUACGAAGGUUCGCCGGUCCCGUCAUCGCAAGGCUCGCACAAUCCACAUUCCUACCAGCAGCAGCAGCAGCAGCAACUGCACCAUCUUCAACAACAGCAACAAUCGCACAACAACGGUCAACCGUUGCAACAGUCACAGCAGCAGCAACACACCAACAUGGCGACGUUAAUGGCGGCGCAUCAUCAUCACCAUCACCACCAUCACCAGCAGCACCAUCUGUCCGAUAAUGAAACGAACAACCUGGACUCGGUCGUUGCCCAGUGCUCGAACGAAAUACUGAAGCGUGUCGAGUCGGCCCGCCGGUUCAACGGGACGACCGAGCGUGGUUCUUCGAAAACGAUGAACAGUCGGACGAUGUCGGCAAAAAAGGGUGGCCUGCUUGGUGGGGGUGGAAGCGAUGGGGGCGGUGGGAUGGUGAUUGGUGUUGGUGGUGGAAGUGUUACCGGGGGCAGUAGCGGGGGUGCGUUGAGUGAAAAGUCGAGCGAUUCCGGUGUCAGCAGUAGCAGCCUAUCGUCCGGUCCGGCGAAGGGUAGCGGCGGUCUCUAGCGGCCAGCGGUCUGUGCGACAAUGAUGACCACGUACGAAGAUGCGACCGUGCGGAUGCUUUCCUGCUGUCCUUCGUUGCUUCCACCGGAGCUGUUCGAGGGAACGGAACGAAGCCUAACGUCCGGUAUCGAGCGGUGUGUGGGUGUGAGUGA